rnacentral:tRNA from 1 species
GCGGGUAUCGUAUAAUGGUAAUACUCCAGCCUUCCAAGCUGAUAACGCGGGUUCGAUUCCCGCUACCCGCU